GGAAGAAUCUGGAGACAGGUGCUGCAUGGCUGUCGUCAGCUCGUGUCGUGAGAUGUUGGGUUAAGUCCCGCAACGAGCGCAACCCUUGCCUUUAGUUGCCAGCAGUUCGGCUGGGCACUCUAAAGGGACUGCCGGUGUUAAACCGGAGGAAGGUGGGGAUGACGUCAAGUCCUCAUGGCCUUUAUGACCAGGGCUACACACGUACUACAAUGGCCGAUACAAAGGGCAGCGACACUGCGAGGUGAAGCCAAUCCCGUAAAAUCGGUCUCAGUCCGGAUUGGAGUCUGCAACUCGACUCCAUGAAGUUGGAAUCGCUAGUAAUCGUGAAUCAGAAUGUCACGGUGAAUACGUUCCCGGGCCUU
rnacentral:rRNA from 1 species